rnacentral:lncRNA from 1 species
AACCCAGCUGAACAACGACAAGGCUCCGAUGACGACGGACGCGGGGACGGCCGCGACGCCGUUCGACUACGGCGCGGGGCAGGUGAACCCGACCGGCGCGCUGGACCCCGGGCUGGUGUACGACCUCGCGGCGGACGACUACCUCAACUUCCUCUGCAACUAUGGCUACGGCACGUCCCAGAUCAAGCUCAUCACCUCCCCUCCGGCCGCCUUCAGCUGCGCCGGCAACGCGAGCAAGGACCUCAUCUCCGACCUCAACUACCCGUCCAUCGCCAUCACGGGGCUCGCCGCCAGCGCCAGCAGGACAGUGACCCGUGAGGUCACCAACGUCGGAGCGCAGGAAGACGCCACCUAUACCGUCACCGUCAGCGCGCCGGCCGGUCUGGAGGUGAAGGUCGUGCC